rnacentral:rRNA from 1 species
AACGAACGCUGGCGGCAUGCCUAACACAUGCAAGUCGAACGAGAUCUUCGGGUCUAGUGGCGCACGGGUGCGUAACGCGUGGGAAUCUGCCCUUUGGUUCGGAAUAACAGUUGGAAACGACUGCUAAUACCGGAUGAUGACGAAAGUCCAAAGAUUUAUCGCCAGAGGAUGGGCCCGCGUAGGAUUAGCUAGUUGGUGUGGUAAAGGCGCACCAAGGCGACGAUCCUUAGCUGGUCUGAGAGGAUGAUCAGACACACUGGGACUGAGACGCGGCCCAGCCUCCUACGGGAGGCAGCAGUGGUGAAUAUUGGACAAUGGGCGAAAGCCUGAUCCAGCAAUGCCGCGUGAGUGAUGAAGGCCUUAGGGUUGUAAAGCUCUUUUACCCGGGUUGAUAAUGACAGUACCGGGAGAAUAAGCUCCGGCUAACUCCGUGCCAGCCGCCGCCGUAA